AGCGAACGCUGGCGGCAGGCCUAACACAUGCCAGUCGAACGGAUCCUUCGGGAUUAGUGGCGGACGGGUGAGUAACACGUGGGAACGUGCCCUUUGGUUCGGAACAACUCAGGGAAACUUGAGCUAAUACCGGAUGUGCCCUUCGGGGGAAAGAUUUAUCGCCAUUGGAGCGGCCCGCGUCUGAUUAGCUAGUUGGUGAGGUAACGGCCCACCAAGGCGACGAUCAGUAGCUGGUCUGAGAGGAUGAUCAGCCACACUGGGACUGAGACACGGCCCAGACUCCUACGGGAGGCAGCAGUGGGGAAUCUUGCGCAAUGGGCGAAAGCCUGACGCAGCCAUGCCGGGUGAAUGAUGAAGGUCUUAGGAUUGUAAAAUUCUUUCAGCGGGGACGAUAAUGACGGUACCCGCAGAAGAAGCCCCGGCUAACUUCGUG
rnacentral:rRNA from 1 species